UGGGCUUUAGCACUUGUUCUUGAGUGCUGUGGGGGUGAGAUGUGUCCCUGUGAGGUACUGUGGGGGGCUCAGUUCCUUCUGUUGGCUCCUUGGGAUUGCUGGCAUGAGAGCGGGUGCGUGUUUGGCUGUGGGCAGACUUUUCAGCCUCCCUCUGUCUGAUGGAACAACGUGUGACCGAGCACAGCUAGUGCCUUGUAGGAGCGAUGACAUGCUUGGGAACAAGUGACUUUCUGCAUCGUCUGCCACGGGCUGUUGACACAGUAUCGCUGCUGUACCCUGCUGAUGGAUCCCAUGCUUUUCCCUCCAGACUGUGGCAUGGCUCUGUGUUAUGUUCAGAUCUGCCAGUAAAAUUACUGGGAGGCAAGCUAAUGCAGCAGGAGGGGAGACCUCUGAUGGGCUGGUACGGUAUAUCCCAAACUUGCCCUGCCACAUGGGUGUGCGAUGAAAGGUUGGGGACCUCUGGAUGUCAGCAUCUGGGGCCUGCCUGCAGGUGCUGGGAUGACCUGGGACAGCUGUGCAGGUCCUCUGGCUGAGCCCCCGAUGGAGCAGAGAGCUCUGAAGCACACCCCUGAGAGCAGAGAGAUGCUGAGACUCUUCCUGUUCUGAUGGGACUUAGCUGGAAUUCCCUGUGGCUGUGGUUCUGCCUUAAUUAUCCCAAAUCUUGAUGCCAUAUGUUAAUUUCCAAGUGCUUUGCUCAAGAGAAGAGCCCAGCAUUUCCCUAUAGGUUCUCACUUCAUUAAUGUAUCAUCAGCCCAUAACAGAGCAUUCUCUGCUGUUAAAACAGUCCCAAGACCAAGACAAAACUCCUUGUGGACGCCAGUAGGCCUGAACCAAGACCCCGAGAAGCCCACAGCUUCCUUCCUGUUGAGAAAUCUGAGAUCGGAGAUGGUCAUCUCUCUGCAACCCCCUUGUUUUCAACCCCCUUUUUUUCCUUCACCUCUUCCUUUUUUUUU